rnacentral:rRNA from 1 species
UACGGGGGGGGCAAGCGUUGUUCGGAAUUACUGGGCGUAAAGGGCUCGUAGGCGGCCAACUAAGUCGGACGUGAAAUCCCCAGGCUCAACCUGGGAACUGCGUCCGAUACUGGAUGGCUUGAACCCGGGAGAGGGAUGCAGAAUUCCAGGUGUAGCGGUGGAAUGCGUAGAGAUCGGGAAGAAUACCUGUGGCGAAGGCGGCCAGCUGGGCCAGGUCCGACGCUGAGGCGCGAAAGCGUGGGGAGCAAACAGG